ACCUGGGUGGCUCAGUCGGUUAAGCGUCCGACUUCGGCUCGGGUCAUGAUCACAUAGUUCGUGGGUUCGAGCCCCACAUCAGGCU
rnacentral:tRNA from 1 species